AAGCAAGACCUACCCAUUACAUUCCUCCUUUAACAACACCCCCACUGUAAUUUCUGUCUGGCAAAAGAAGCCACAAGCAUCAACAUAUCCAGAUAUGCUAUGUGGCCUACCCAAUUCUGGGAAGAAAACCCGAUUCUCUGUGUCCCCAGACCACAUGUGUGCCCUGGACAUUUCAAAGAGGAAAAGCAGUCCUUCCUGAACAUGCAAUUGAAGACAAGCAACAACUAGAGGACAACAACAGAUAAAAGGAAACAGGAUGGUGGCACAGCAGGACAGUCCUCAGGACAGGGAGCCACAGGGGACCCCACAGGGCUUUAUCAGCCAAAGCCCAUCUCACCACAAGGCAAACCUGGAGAUGGUGGCCAGGCCCAGCCAAGAGUCCACAUGGUCAUGCAAGUUCAUGGCAACAAGAAGAGUUCAAGAUCAAUGGAGGAAGCAAAUCUUAUUAGCAACCCCUAAAUAAAGACCUUUUAGUGCCUCGGGACCCUGA